AGUGUUUUCCUGGAGAGAGUUUCCUGCGUUCUCUUUUUAGGACUUCUGUUAGGAUCGUACCUGCCCCAGGUUACAUCAACGAAGUAUACACUCGAUAUGGCCACAUCUUUGAAAGACACGUGUAUAAGAAAUUGGCCUAACCUCGCCCUGAAGAAACCAUCACGGAUCUCCUCACUGUGGACGAGUGAACACGUAGCGGGCCUGGCGAACGAUGGCAAUACGAAUGGGAACCUCCAAUUCUGCGCCUGCACAGCCGAAUAUCAGUACACGGACAACUGGUGGACUGUCGAUCUUGGCGCCACCUACUGGGCGGUGGCGAUAGAACUUUGGAACAGAGGAAAUUACUCAUACCGGUUCGCACAGUUCGAUGUCAUAGUGACCGAUGAAGCGCCUCCCCCUGCGGUCAUUAAUGAUGUCACUUUCUGCUAUCACCACGGUAGCACACCAAUCCCUGCGAAUAUUGGGUUCUUCAGGAAAUGCAGAAAACCCAUCGCUGGGAGGCAUGUGACCAUCAGCAAGAAGGUCCC